AUUGAACGCUGGCGGCAGGCCUAACACAUGCAAGUCGAACGAGUGGCGGCCGGGUGAGUAAUGUAUGGGAAACUGCCCGAUGGAGGGGGAUAACUACUGGAACCGGUAGCUAAUACCGCAUAACCUCUGCUGUGCCCAGGUGGGAUUCUCUGUAGGUUGGGGUAAUGGCUCACCUAGGCGACGAUACCUAGCUGGUAUGAGAGGAUGACCAGCCACACUGAAACUGAGACACGGUCCAGACUCCGAAGGGAGGCAGCAGUGGGGAAUAUUGCACAAUGGGCGCAAGCCUGAUGCAGCCAUGCCGCGUGUAUAAAGAAGGCCUUCGGGUUGUAAAGUACUUUCAGCGAGGAGGCGUUACUCGCAGAAGAAGCACCGGCUAACUCCGUGCCAGCAGCCGCGGUAAUUC
rnacentral:rRNA from 1 species